rnacentral:rRNA from 1 species
AUGGCGGACAAGGACAUGGGGCGCGUCAAGAUCGUCGGCGUGAAGCCUUUCAUCUUUGAGGCGAUGCUUCACUACAUCUACACGGACUUCCUGCCGCCAUGCCACGACGAAGGAGGCGAUAGCGCCGCGGCCAUGCAACAUUUACUGGUCGCGGCCGAUAGGUACGGGCUGGACCGACUGAAACUGAUGUGCGAGGAAGAGUUGUGCAAAAGAAUCGACGCGGAGACCAUCGUAACCAUGUUGGCGUUGGCAGAUCAGCACCACUGCAAGCGACUCAAGGAUGCAUGCAUAGAGUUGUUUCCGGCCGCCGCACGUGGGCGUCCUCGAGGUAAACGGGUCAAGUCAGCCACAUCCAUCAUCACCGCCAAGCUCCGUCGUGCAGAGGAGCGCGUACCCGAGGAUUCCGAGAUCACCACGUCGAGAAGCAUCACGGUCACGGAGAGCACCGCGACGCUCAGUCUGGAGGUGACAGAUUACCCGAAGCUCAAGGGCAUGGGCGUCGGGCAGUUCAUCAGAUCGCGCGUCUUCAAAGUCGGUGGGAACGAUUGGGAGAUGAGGUUCUACCCGGAUGGCUGCAAAAACCAAUGUGAUGACAACGCCUCAGUGCUUGUGUACUAUCUCAACGCGCGCAAGGAGGAGCUUGUGAGCACCUGGUGGGCACUUAGCAUGCUGGAGAAAAAUAGCCAGGUAGACGUGGUCAGCCCCAUGGUGGGGAAGUGCGCCUUCUCUCGGAGGAAACUCUCCAACUGGGGCUAUCCCGAAUUCGUGAAGAAGGCCAAGCUAGACUCCCUGUCGGAACUCGGGGACGGCUGCUUCACCAUACAUACUCUGUGUCCUCACCGUCAUCAUCGACGAGUCACCGGCGAUGGAACUGCCCCGCGACCUCGAGCGCAUGCGCAGGGACGGGAGAGAAACGGACGUCACGUUCCUUGUGGACGGCCAGGAGUUUCGCGCACUCAGGUCCCUCCUGGCCGCGCGAUCGGCCGUCUUCGAGGCGCAGCUAUUUGGCCCCAUGGCGGACAAGGAUAUGCAGUGCGUCAAGGUCGUCAGACAUGGAGCCUGCCAUCUUUGACAUGA